GUAGGUGAGGUGGUAGUGGUGUAAUGGGUUAGGUUUAGUGGAGUAGGUUUAAGUGGGUGAAGUAGGUGGAGAGUAGGUGGAUUUUAACAGAACUUUAAGACAUUAGAGAACUGUAGAAGUGAAGUUUGCAAUGCACUUGGAAUAGCAGGGGAUUGAAACCAGACGCAAGGAAGGCCGGUGUCGCGACGGAGCUUCGGCAAAGGGACAUCGACGUGCAAGCGGCGGUGGUCUCCGGCGAUUGAACAGUAGUGCACUCAGAAAGGAAAUUUCAAGGUAUGUGUAGAAAAUUUUAGCGGACUAGGUAGGUUGAGAUCCGGCGGGCGGCCAAGGCGAGGUUGCCGCCCGCCGGUGAAGCGAAAAAUACUAAAUUCUUAACCUUGCUCUGAUACCAUGUUAAAAUAUUGAUGUAUUAUUAAUUGAUGUAUGUUGUUAAUUACAAAUGGUGAGGGGCUCCUUAUAUAGGAGAUGUAGUGGAGUAGGUAGUAGUAGGUGGUAGUGGUAGGUGUGUAGUAGGUGGUAGUAGGUGGUGGUAGAUGUAGUAGGUGGAGUAGGUGAUGGUAGGUUUUAACAGGAUGUCCAAUUGCAUCGACCUUUACAUGCAGCUGCGCAUUUUCUUAACCCAGAAUUCUUUUACCCAAAAGCGUUAGAGGUGCAAAGAGAUCAUGAAAUGAUGAAUGGGUUUUAUGAAUGCAUGCAAAGGUUGGUCCCGGAUGUCACUGUUCAAGAUUUGAUCACUAAUGAGAUGAGUAUUUAUAUGAAGGCUGAGAUUCUUUUUGGCAAGGCUGUUGCGAUUAGGUAAAGAAAUACAAGAGCACCAGCUGAUUGGUGGGCAUCAUAUGGUUCUUAUACUCCAAACUUGCAAACUUUUGCCAUAAAAGUCCUUAGCCUAACAUGUAGUUCAUUGGGUUGUGAACGAAAUUGGACUGUAUUCGAACAUCUUCAUAGCAAGAAAAGAGAUAGAUUGGAACAACAACGUCUCAAUGACUUAGUGUAUGUCAAAUACAAUAGAACAUUGAGAUUUAGGUAUGACAUGCGCAACACUCUUGAUCCCAUAUCUUUGCAAAAUAUUGAUGAAAGCAAUGAGUGGUUGCUUGGGAGGAUGGAUGGAGAAUCAGAUGAAAAUAAUGAGCCUGUGUUUGAUGAUGAUGAUGGCUUGACGUGGGCCACUGUUGCUAGAGCUUCUGGAGUAGAAGAAAGUAGCCAUGCAAGUAGAGCAACAAGUUCACGCUCAAAGGCACAACCGAGGAUAGCUAAAUCAUCAAGAUUAACUCCACUUCAAUUAAUAGAUGAAGAGGAAGCGGGCUCAGAUGACACAGAGGAGGAAGAUGUUGAGGGAUACAAAUCAACUGAUGGAGAAGAAGAUGAUAGUUUGCUUGCCAUUGAUGUUGAGGAUGAUGAUUGACUGACACCGACCUAACCUACCCUUGCUUUUGAUAUUGAUGUUUUUAAGUGUUAAGUUAAGACAUAUAUUAAUAUUUGUUGGAUAUUUAUGUUUUGGAUGUUUAGUGUUUAUGUUUUUAUUUUAUUGAAUGUGGAUUAUUUGAUCUUUGAAAAUUGAAAUGUUAUGUAAUAUGCACUUUCAUGGCUUUGAGAAUUAUUCUAUAUUUUGUCUUGAAUCUUGAUUACUUUUUAUUUUUAAAAAAAUUGUCUUAGUACUAUGAAUGAUUAGUCUAUAUUAAUUUUUCUAUUUUUUACGAAAACUGGGCGCCUUACUUCAAUAAAGCCCGCACCUUGCCUUGCGCCUAGGCCCCGAGAGACCUUCAGCGCCUUAGUGCGCCUUGAGCCUUUAAAAACACUGGGAGGGUUACUUUGGUCAAGAGUAUCUUGUCGAGUAUCCCGACUUAUUUUAUGUCGUUUCAUGUGAUUCUAGUGGUAGUUGCAACGCGGGUUGAGAAGUUAUAGCAAGAUUUUUUAUGAGGAGAUGAGGGGGAAGGGUUCUCAUUCUCAUUUGGUGGCGUGGGA